GACGAACGCUGGCGGCGUGCCUAAUACAUGCAAGUAGAACGCUGAAGGAGGAGCUUGCUCUUCUGGAUGAGUUGCGAACGGGUGAGUAACGCGUAGGUAACCUGCCUGGUAGCGGGGGAUAACUAUUGGAAACGAUAGCUAAUACCGCAUAAGAGUAGAUGUUGCAUGACAUUUACUUAAAAGGUGCAAUUGCAUCACUACCAGAUGGACCUGCGUUGUAUUAGCUAGUUGGUGGGGUAACGGCUUACCAAGGCGACGAUACAUAGCCGACCUGAGAGGGUGAUCGGCCACACUGGGACUGAGACACGGCCCAGACUCCUACGGGAGGCAGCAGUAGGGAAUCUUCGGCAAUGGACGGAAGUCUGACCGAGCAACGCCGCGUGAGUGAAGAAGGUUUUCGGAUCGUAAAGCUCUGUUGUAAGAGAAGAACGAGUGUGAGAGUGGAAAGUUCACACUGUGACGGUAUCUUACCAGAAAGGGACGGCGAACUACGU
rnacentral:rRNA from 1 species